rnacentral:rRNA from 1 species
UACGGAGGAUGCAAGCGUUAUCCGGAAUGAUUGGGCGUAAAGCGUCCGCAGGUGGCUGUGUAAGUCUGCCGUUAAAGAGUGAGGCUCAACCUCAUAAAGGCAGUGGAAACUACAUGGCUAGAGUGCGUUCGGGGCAGAGGGAAUUCCUGGUGUAGCGGUGAAAUGCGUAGAGAUCAGGAAGAACACCGGUGGCGAAAGCGCUCUGCUAGGCCGCAACUGACACUGAGGGACGAAAGCUAGGGGAGCGAAUGGG